AAAGAUACUGCUUUUGGAUUUUGUUUAUAGCCAAACAUCAGGGAAAGGAGGCAACUGUUUGAUUUUCAAUGAGCUUAUGAAUGCAAGCCAACAUGUUCCUGAAUAUAUGUCCUGCAACCAGUGGACAUCUGAACAGACGAAGAAGGCAUAUGGGUGUGCAACACUGAAGAAAACAGAACAUUUUCAUAACAUCUCAGAGGAGUAAAAUGGUUUGAAGAAACAGAAACAUAAUCUGUCAAUGGAGUGGAGCCAGUGACCGCUGGAAGAGACCAUUGGUAGAGAAAAGAAUCUGGUAUAUAAAAAGAAAAAUAGAAUAAUCUCCUUUGAAAAGGGAUUUUGAGAAGCACAUGAGUCUGAGUCAGAGCCACAGAAGAAAUCCAUCUAAGACAAAACCAUAGCCACAUAUCAAAAGAUAUUUUUAUAUGUCUGAACAUCCAUUUUUACCAUCUCAGUUGCUGUAAUAAAUUGCAUUCCAGCAUUCUUACUUCCCUUUUC
rnacentral:lncRNA from 1 species